rnacentral:rRNA from 1 species
AGAGUUUGAUCCUGGCCUCAGGAUGAACGCUGGCGGCGCUGCCUAACACAUGCAAGUCGAGCGAUUCUCUUCGGAGAAGAGCGGCGGACGGGUGAGUAACGCGUGGGUAACCUGCCCUGUACACACGGAUAACAUACCGAAAGGUAUGCUAAUACGGGAUAAUGUACUUUUGUCGCAUGGCAGAAGUAUCAAAGCUCCGGCGGUACAGGAUGGACCCGCGUCUGAUUAGCUAGUUGGAGAGGUAAUGGCUCACCAAGGCAACGAUCAGUAGCCGACCUGAGAGGGUGAUCGGCCACAUUGGAACUGAGACACGGUCCAAACUCCUACGGGAGGCAGCAGUGGGGAAUAUUGCACAAUGGGCGAAAGCCUGAUGCAGCAACGCCGCGUGAGUGAUGAAGGCCUUCGGGUCGUAAAGCUCUGUCCUCAAGGAAGAUAAUGACGGUACUUGAGGAGGAAGCCCCGGCUAACUACGUGCCAGCAGCCGCGGUAAUACGUAGGGGGCUAGCGUUAUCCGGAAUUACUGGGCGUAAAGGGUGCGUAGGUGGUUUCUUAAGUCAGAGGUGAAAGGCUACGGCUCAACCGUAGUAAGCCUUUGAAACUGAGAAACUUGAGUGCAGGAGAGGAGAGUAGAAUUCCUAGUGUAGCGGUGAAAUGCGUAGAUAUUAGGAGGAAUACCAGUUGCGAAGGCGGCUCUCUGGACUGUAACUGACACUGAGGCACGAAGCGUGGGGAGCAAACAGGAUUAGAUACCCUGGUAGUCCACGCCGUAAACGAUGAGUACUAGGUGUCGGGGGUUACCCCCCUCGGUGCCGCAGCUAACGCAUUAAGUACU